rnacentral:rRNA from 1 species
UGAACGCUGGCGGCGUGCCUAAUACAUGCAAGUCGAGCGAACGGACGAGAAGCUUGCUUCUCUGAUGUUAGCGGCGGACGGGUGAGUAACACGUGGAUAACCUACCUAUAAGACUGGGAUAACUUCGGGAAACCGGAGCUAAUACCGGAUGAUAUUUUGAACCUCAUGGUUCAAAAGUGAAAGACGGUCUUGCUGUCACUUAUAGAUGGAUCCGCGCUGCAUUAGCUAGUUGGUAAGGUAACGGCUUACCAAGGCAACGAUGCAUAGCCGACCUGAGAGGGUGAUCGGCCACACUGGAACUGAGACACGGUCCAGACUCCUACGGGAGGCAGCAGUAGGGAAUCUUCCGCAAUGGGCGAAAGCCUGACGGAGCAACGCCGCGUGAGUGAUGAAGGUCUUCGGAUCGUAAAACUCUGUUAUUAGGGAAGAACAUAUGUGUAAGUAACUGUGCACAUCUUGACGGUACCUAAUCAGAAAGCCACGGCUAACUACGCG